AGAUGUGAGGGUGAUCCAGCUGUGACAUCUGUAGCCCUCUUGACCACCACCAAAGUUGAUUCAGCUGAUCUGGCUGGCUAAGUUGGUGUCCUCUCACCAUUCGACAUAUGUCCCUCCUAAAACUGCAAACUCAGUAAAAAAGAACAACCUUCUCAAACAGUGGAGAAUAGUUCUUUAAAGUUCUUAGAAGAGCUGUGUUCCUUGGCUAGACCCUCCAAACAGUGCUCAAAGUCCAAAGAUAUCUAGCUAUUGUCUUAGAAGGAAAAAUGAAGAGAAGUACUAAAUUAUUUUACUCUCAAGUUAAAUUUUGCUCAAUUCUUUUGAAAUUU
rnacentral:snRNA from 1 species